UCAAUUAAAUUUAAUUAAUCUAUGUAUGCAUUGGAUACAAUCUAUCUAUCUAUCUAUCUAUCUAUACCUAUACUAAUUGGGCACUUUCUACGAACUCUCACGUUAAUCAGAAAGAUCUGGCCAUUGAUUAAAUCACUUUCUACGAACUCUCACGUUAAUCAGAAAGAUCUGGCCAUCUAUACCUAUACUAAUUGGGCACUUUCUACGAACUCUCACGUUAAUCAGAAAGAUCUGGCCAUUGAUUAAAUCACUUUCUACGAACUCUCACGUUAAUCAGAAAGAUCUGGCCAUUGAUUAAAUAAAUGAUAUUAUCAUCCCUGUAGAUUGUAAAUUCCAUGUGUGUUUAACUUUGUGGGCCACGUGUAAAUUAAACCAAUCUAACACCACCUCACGAAGGAACAGAUAAGAGAGGAUAUGCGAGAGGCAAUAAUAUUUCUGUUGCUGUUGAGCGUUAAGUACAUGAUUAGAUCUAUCUAUAAUUCACAACACAAUAAGAGAAGAAAAUCAACGAAGCAUGCAACACCUUGGGCGUCAAUAGAGAGACAUGGAAAAGGAAUCAAAGCCAGCGCGGCAAGACGAUUAAUUCUUCAGGCAAGCCGCUCACGUCUAUGGAAAGCAUCGAUGCAGCUUACGCCGAUGCUCACAUCAAGUCGCCACUCGACGUCGAUGUCGCCGAGUCGCCUCGGCUUCUGCCGCUGCAAUGUCCGCGCCUGCCAAAGCUGUGGCAUCUCGGUGCGAGCCUAGGGCGCCGCUGCUUCAUAUGCCGGUGACGAUGUACGCUGACCACACGGCCAUGUCCUUGCAGGCUGUUGUUGCAGGCAAAUGCAUGUAUGCAUGAUUCAUUUCCGUAUCCAUCAGCCAAGCUAAUUGCCUGGCUGAAUCAUAUGGACGGACUAAGACAGACACAUGGUGCAUGUAUAGGAUCAAGAUGUUGAAGGCUUAAUCCAACAAGAUUUCGGCUCUCCCAACGCUCCGGUGUAUUUCAAGAUAGUCGCCAAGGUCCCUCUAGCCGCAGAGCAAGGCAAGUCAUCCUUGUCACUUGAAUAUAUUGAUCCCAUAUUGCAAAUGCUCUAUGUUUUCCUUUAAGUUAUGCAUUGUUUUAUAAUGUUACUAAAUGGGAUGUUGUACCUACUGUUCUCAGCCCUAUUAUUUUUGUACCUUAUUCCUUUGUAAACUUGGGAUGUAACAUGACUAGAUGUUGGAUUAGGAAUUGCUUAGCCAUGCUUAGUUCAACUACCCUAGCUGUUCCUGGAUAGUGGUUUAAUGCACGUUCUGCUUGGAAUUCUGGUUUGUGAAUUUUUGGGGCAUGGUGUGACAUAGAAAAUUAUUUUUUCUCAUCAAGUCUAUGGUAACUAGGCUGAUGGUCUGAACAGAAUUGAGCAGUCCAGGUAGCCAAGCCACUCUCCAACUAGCAGUUGAGGUAGUCAGAUUGCCAGGAUCAUAGUUUUUUUGGGAUUAGUUUUCUAACUUCAUAGACUACGCAGUAAUACGUUUAGAUUUUAGUUUAGGCAGCCAAUCACUACUCUUUAGUUAUCAUAGAUUAGCAGUUUCUUUCCCAAAAAGAAAGAGAGCCAUGCAUGGCAUUUUCAUAACCAUAAUUAAAGAUAAGAAGCUUAGACCUGGGAGCCUUUCUCAAAAUAGGUGCAAAAAUUGCAGACAUAAUGGAUGGCCUGCAUAAUGCCCGUAGCCCCAUGCACAAUUCCACUCUCAACCGCAAAAACCACGUAGUUUCCUAUUUUCCCUGACUCUCCCAGCGAACAAUUGCUGACUUCUUCCACUAGAUGUUUCCUGUUCAUGGCUCCCCGCAUUUUUUGGCUCCAUGUUCGUACCCCAUUUCAUAUUAAAACUCAUAGAACAGUCCACUGCGAUGGAUGAGGACCAGAUGACGAACCAAGAAUUACUGUUUAAAGCUUCAUAAAAACAUAAAGGAAAAGAAUGGUACAUACUUUGCUGAAGAGAUGGCUCCUUUGUUUCUAUCAGCAAUCCUUUCGGCCCUAUUGGUAGCAUCCUCUACUCGUGGUACCGUGGCCAUUGGGUUAUUCCAGGUGCGCCGCAAAUUCUCUAUCAUGGGCGGUGGGUGUAAGGGGAGUGACAUAGGUGCAUUACAAACCCACGAUAGGAACCGCCAUCUUAGUCGCCUUGUGGCUGCGGACUUCUCACUUGGUGGCCUUGGUGGCAUCAGCACAUCCAGCACAGGGUAUAUGCUUCAAUGUUCCUUUGGUUCUAUCCAUUUCUUCUUGGUAGGUUGGCUUAUUACGAUCUGAUAGAGUUUGACACAGACUAUACUACACGGAGAUAGGGAUUGGGACACCCGCAAUGGAAUACUAUGUGCAGGUGGACACUGGCAGCAGUGCAUUUUGGGUUAACUGCAUCCCCUGCAAGCAAUGCCCUCGCAAGAGCGAUAUAUUGAAAAAGCUGACAUUAUAUGACCCUAGGAGCUCAGUAAGUUAAAAAGUGGUGAAAUGUGAUGAUAUGUUCUGCACUUCGCCCGAUAGGGAUGUGCAGCCAGAAUGCAACACAAGCUUACUUUGUCCAUUCAUCGCGACCUAUGCUGAUGGUGGAUCAACAAUAGGCGCCUUUGUCACUGAUCUUGUGCACUAUAAUCAACUCUCUGGGAAUGGGCUGACUCAAUCAACUAACACCAGCCUCACAUUCGGGUGAGUUGUGUCCAUUGAAGAAAUUUUUGUAUGUGAAAUUUUUUGAAUUAGAACUGAAGUGUACGAUUGUAAAAUACCGUUGAUAGACAAUAGUUCAACAACAUGCCAUCUUACGUGCAAUAAUACUCUUUCUUUUUUGCCAUCACA